AAACUUUGUAUUCUACCUUUAAUUGACAUAGACCCCAGUCAUCUAA
rnacentral:tRNA from 15 species